UGCCUAAUACAUGCAAGUCCAGCGGAUCAAAGGGRGCUUGCUCCCUGAGAUCAGCGGCGGACGGGUGAGUAACACGUGGGUAACCUGCCUGUAAGACUGGGAUAACUCCGGGAAACCGGGGCUAAUACCGGAUAACUCAUUUCCUCGCAUGAGGAACUGUUGAAAGGUGGCUUUUAGCUCCCACUUACAGAUGGACCCGGGCCCCAUUAGCUAGUUGGUGAGGUAACGGCUCACCAAGGCAACAAUGCNUACCCGACCUGAGAGGGUGAUCGGCCACACUGGRACUGAAACACGGCCCAAACUCCUCCGGGRGGCAGCAGUAGGGAAUCUUCCGCAAUGGACAAAAGUUUGACGGACCAACGCCGCGUGAGUGAAAAAGGUUUUCGGAUCGUAAAACUCUGUUGUUAGGGAAGAACAAGUGCCGUUCGAAUAGGGCGGCACCUUGNCGGUCCCUAACCAAAAAGCCACGGCUAACUACGUGCCAGCCGCCGCGGUAAUCCUUAGGUGGCAGGCGUUGUCCGGAAUAUUUGGGCGUAAAGCGC
rnacentral:rRNA from 1 species